rnacentral:piRNA from 1 species
UUCUCUUCAGAUCGUAUAAAUCUUUCG